AUUUGAACCAGGUGCUGAGAGCUGUCUGGCGUCUCCUGGCUGCUGUAUUAACCACGAACAUGCACAAGAGGAUUCCGAGGCAGUAAAAUGGAGCGGGACCAAUGGCAAUGACCAGGGCUGAGCGCGGCAGCUGUGGCGAUGAACAUUCAAAUCACACCCACGCGGUCGGGCCCAGGGCCCCCAGCCCCUGCCUGCUUCAGAGCUCUGGUUCGUUCCAUUUGCAUCCCGAGGGCAGGACUUGGCUUGCCAAAGCACAGCCCGACACAGCAGUUAGUCAAGGGCCUAGAAGGCUGUCACUCACAGGUUCAAAGAAUCCUUUCUCGCUUAGAAGGAUGACUCUCCCGAGGGCACUGUGCUGCCCUGUGAAGUCUCUGGUUUGGGAGAGGGUUGAAAUGAAGGCAAGUAAUGUCUACCUGUGCCAUCGUAGAAACGGACUUCUAACAUUGUUUUUCAAAGGUCUCCACUUCUCUCAAAGUCUGGCAAAUGUUGGAACUUUCCUGUUCUACGUAGGAGCCUGCAUGCCCCAUGUCUCUCCUUUGCUAAUGCUUUGGGAACACACCUUGCUUCAGAGGACAUGGCAGGCUGGAGUAUUAACUGGAGCUGUGACAGAGCAGGCUUUCAAUACAGUGUGGACUGUGCCAUCACCUAUGCUCACAACAUUUUUAAUGAGAAAUAACAAAACGACUCCAGGU
rnacentral:lncRNA from 1 species